GAACACAACCGCCAAUCGGGUCUCUACCAAACAGCACCACAUCACAGGUAACAGAACAUAGCUACUAAGCAGGUCUGUACAAAACAGCAUAAUAUCACAGGUAAUAGAACAGAAGUGCUGACUGGGUCUACCAAAAAGCACCAUAUCACAGGCAACAGGACAUAACCGCCAAACAGAUCCCUAUCAAAAAUCACGUCACAGGCAACAGAAUGUAACCACCAAACAAGUCUCUACCAAACACCAUAUCACACGUAACAGAAUGUAGCCACCAUCCAGGUCUCUACAAAACAGAAUCACAGCCGCGGGAUCAAAGCAAACUUGCCAGCCAGCUCUCAAAAAAAAA